rnacentral:rRNA from 1 species
UACGUAGGGCGCAAGCGUUGUCCGGAAUUAUUGGGCGUAAAGAGCUCGUAGGCGGUUUGUCGCGUCUGCUGUGAAAACCUAAGGCUCAACCUUGGGCUUGCAGUGGGUACGGCAGACUAGAGUGCGGUAGGGUGACUGGAAUUCCUGGUGUAGCGGUGGAAUGCGCAGAUAUCAGGAGGAACACCGAUGGCGAAGGCAGAUCUCUGGCCGUAACUGACGC